rnacentral:rRNA from 1 species
GACGAACGCUGGCGGCGUGCUUAACACAUGCAAGUCGAGCGAGGUCCAUCCCGGUGGCAACACCGGGGAAGACCUAGCGGCGAACGGGUGAGUAACACGUGAGCAACCUGCCCCGAAGACUGGGAGUAACACCGGGAAACCGGUAGCUAAUACCGGAUGCCCUCACCGGGCCGCAUGACCUGGUGAGGAAAUGAAUUUUGCUUCGGGAGGGGCUCGCGGGCUAUCAGCUUGUUGGUGGGGUAACGGCNCACCAAGGCUACGACGGCUAGCUGGUCUGAGAGGACGAUCAGCCACACUGGGACUGAGACACGGCCCAGACUCCUACGGGAGGCAGCAGUGGGGAAUCUUGCGCAAUGGGCGAAAACCUGACGCAGCAACGCCGC